GGAUUGUGGCUCAGUGGUAGAGCGCUUGCCUAGCAUACGUGAGAUGCUGGGUUCGAUCCCCAGCACCA
rnacentral:tRNA from 1 species